CUUUCCGGUAUUAGCCCCGCCCCUUCCGGUCCGCGAGCGUCACUUCCGCCGUGUCACGAUGGAGGAGAUCGGAGUGCUGUGCGAGAAGGCCCAGGAGGACCUCCCGGCGCUGCCCCGCCCCCACCCGGCGCUGCCCUUCCUGGGCCCCGAAGCCGAAGACCUCGAGGACCUCUACAGCCGAUACAAGAAGCUGCAGCAGGAGCUGGAGUUCCUGGAGGUGCAGGAGGAGUACAUAAAGGACGAGCAGAAGAACCUCAAGAAGGAAUUCCUGCACGCCCAGGAGGAGGUGAAGCGCAUCCAAAGCAUCCCAUUGGUCAUCGGGCAGUUCCUCGAGGCCGUGGAUCAGAACACCGCCAUCGUGGGAUCCACCACUGG
rnacentral:lncRNA from 1 species